AUUGAACGCUGGCGGCAGGCCUAACACAUGCAAGUCGAACGAGUGGCGGACGGGUGAGUAAUGUCUGGGCAACUGCCUGAUGGAGGGGGAUAACUACUGGAAACGGUAGCUAAUACCGCAUACCAUCAUAUGUGCCCAGUUGGGAUUAGCUAGUUGGUGGGGUAAAGGCUACCCAAGGCGACGAUCCCUAGCUGGUCUGAGAGGAUGACCAGCCACACUGGAACGGAGACACGGUCCAGACUCCUACGGGAGGCAGCAGUGGGGAAUAUUGCACAAUGGGCGCAAGCCUGAUGCAGCCAUGCCGCGUGUGUGAAGAAGGCCUUCGGGUUGGAAAGUACUUUCAGCGGGGAGGCGUUACCCGCAGAAGAAGCACCGGCUAACUCCGUGCCAGCAGCCGCGGUAAUUC
rnacentral:rRNA from 1 species